rnacentral:rRNA from 1 species
GCGCGCAAAUUACCCAAUCCUGACACGGGGAGGUAGUGACAAUAAAUAACAAUACCGGGCGCGUUAGUGUCUGGUAAUUGGAAUGAGUACAAUCUAAAUCCCUUAACGAGGAUCCAUUGGAGGCAAGUCUGGUGGCAG